UGGGCUGUAAACCUCUUUUCUCAAGGAAGAAGAUAUGACGGUACUUGAGGAAUAAGCCACGGCUAAUUCCGUGCCAGCAGCCGCGGUAAUACGGGAGUGGCAAGCGUUAUCCGGAAUUAUUGGGCGUAAAGCGUCCGCAGGCGGCUUUUCAAGUCUGCUGUUAAAGCGUGGAGCUUAACUCCAUCAUGGCAGUGGAAACUGAAAGGCUUGAGUAUGGUAGGGGCAGAGGGAAUUCCCGGUGUAGCGGUGAAAUGCGUAGAUAUCGGGAAGAACACCAGUGGCGAAGGCGCUCUGCUGGGCCAUUACUGACGCUCAUGGACGAAAGCCAGGGGAGCGAAAGGGAUUAGAUACCCCUGUAGUCCUGGCCGUAAACGAUGAACACUAGGUGUCGGGGGAAUCGACCCCUUCGGUGUCGUAGCUAACGCGUUAAGUGUUCCGCCUGGGGAGUACGCACGCAAGUGUGAAACUCAAAGGAAUUGACGGGGGCCCGCACAAGCGGUGGAGUAUGUGGUUUAAUUCGAUGCAACGCGAAGAACCUUACCAGGGUUUGACAUCCUGCGAACCUCUUAGAAAUUUGAGGGUGCCUUCGGGAAUGCAGUGACAGGUGGUGCAUGGCUGUCGUCAGCUCGUGUCGUGAGAUGUUGGGUUAAGUCCCGCAACGAGCGCAACCCACGUUUUUAGUUGCCAGCAUUUAGUUGGGCACUCUAGAAAGACCGCCGGUGAUAAACCGGAGGAAGGUGUGGAUGACGUCAAGUCAUCAUGCCCCUUACACCCUGGGCUACACACGUACUACAAUGCUACGGACAAAGGGCAGCAAACUCGCGAGAGCUAGCAAAUCCCAUAAACCGUGGCUCAGUUCAGAUCGUAGGCUGCAACUCGCCUACGUGAAGUAGGAAUCGCUAGUAAUCGCAGGUCAGCAUACUGCGGUGAAUACGUUCCCGGGCCUUGUACACACCGCCCGUCACACCAUGGAAGUUGGCCAUGCCCGAAGUCGUUACUCCAACCCUUGUGGAGGAGGACGCCGAAGGUGGGGCUAAUGACUGGGGUGAAGUCGUAACAAGGUAGCCGUACCGGAAGGUGCGGCUG
rnacentral:rRNA from 1 species